UCUCUAUUCUUCUUUUCUUUCUUCUUUCUUCAUCUUCUCAUUUUCUUUUUCUUCCUCUGCUAUUCUUCUUCUUCUGCGUAUGUAUGAGAAAUUAAAAGGAAGCUUUGUGAUCGGCGGGAGGUGCAUAAGAUCAUGGAGUAGAUGAUAGUGAUGGUGUCUUUGUUUGUUGUUGAUUCAGACUCGAAGGAGGAAUUAAAUUAGAAGUUAGGGUUUAUACAAAAAGCUCAGCGAAUAAUUAAGAGAUGAAACUGGUGUUCUAGGAGCAUGAAUCAAGAUGGUUUUAUGUCUAAUUGAGUGAUAUGAAGUUGUUUCGAUGUAGAAUCCGUGAGUUAGGGUUUGUAAGAAAUUCAGAGAGGCUGUAGAAGAUGAAUUUGAAGCUUUGGAAGAUUAAUUGGAGAUGGGUUUACAUGAAUUAGAGAAUUGAGUGAAGCAGGGUUGUGCUAGCAGUGAAGAUUGAUUCAAUUGAAAAAUUGGGGUUUCUGAAGUGGGUGAAUAGAAGAAUCAAAAGAAAUAGAUGAUGGGUAAGCUUGGUUGGAGGUUAUGGUGAAUCUGAGAUGAAGAAGAACAACAAUUGAAAGAUGAUACUGGGAGUUAGGGUUUCAUAAGAAGGAACUCAGUGAAGUAAUUCAGAGGAUGUAGAACUUGGGUAAGUUGUUAAAUUUCUUUAAUUAUAAUACUAGAAGAAUUGAUGGUUAAAUUGUUGAUUUAAGAUGCUGCCGAGUGAAAUUGAGUUUAAGAUGAUUACAGAGUAUAGGAAUGUGAUGAUAUGAGAAUUAUGAUUAUGAGAAUAAAAUUAAAGAACUAUAAUGAUGAGAUUUGGGGAAGCUGUAGGCUUGAGAGGGUUGUGUAUUAGCUGUGAUUGUUGUUGUUGUGUUGAAUGGCCUGAGUUUGAGAUGUAAUGGCUAAGCAGUGCAUGAACUGGUUGCUAGUGAUGUGUUGUUACUGUGGAGAUGAUGUUACUGUUGUAGUAUUGUGGAGUGCAAAGGAGUUAGAGGUCUAUUGCUGAACUGGUGUUGAUGUUGUUACAGGAAAUGUGUUGGUGGAGUGGUUAUUGAGUUGAAGUGAAUAUUAACUAGUAUUGCAGGCGGAAUGGGAAAGAGAAGUUGAGGUGGUGUAAUGGAGAUAUUGAAGUAUACUGAGAUGUUUUGAAUCUGGUUGUGUUGCUGACAUUACAUGGAGGUUUAGAAAAUAUAAUGUUGAGUUAUGAUGUGUGAGUCGCAGUUAAAGCUUAGAUGAGUGGAUUGAAUUGGUGAUGUUAGUGUUUGCUGUAAAAGCUUGGAACUGCAAUUGCAGUUAGUCUAUAUUAACAACGAUCGAUUCAAAUGAUGAACCAGUGGAUCGUGGAUCUCGAGGUAGGCUUGGCUUGUCAUCAAAAGGUUUCAGAGACAGAUCAGAGUCGCGCAGCGAAAGCUUCGAGGAAUUAAUCCGAAAUAGUUAUCUUCUGUUAUGUAUAUUAUGUUGUAUAUUCUGUUUUGAAAACCAAAUGACUAUUGUAUAUAUAUAAUUUGAGAGUAGUGCUUGUAUAUAUAUAUUUCAGAGCAGGGAUAGUUUUUGGGUUAAGUUUUUGUAA